CAGACCAAGGCAACAAAAUGGUCCUAGACUCAGUCCUUACUACCCAUGAACGAGUGGUGCAGGCUCGUCGACCCACAAGUUGAAAACCUUUGCCUUAAAUGAUGUCUACACUCUAGAGCUGGGCUCUUGACUCCUCUAACUCUCCUGUUAUGAAAUCACAUCCAAGACUGGAGAGAUGGCUCAGCAGUUAAGAGCACUGACUGCUCUUCCAGAGGUCCUGAGAUCAAUUCCCAGCAACUACAUGGUGGCUCAUAACCAUCUGUAAUGGGAUCUGAUGCCCUCCUCUGAUCAGCGGUCUGAGCGCUACAUUUGCUGAGAUUUUCCUGGAAAUACUCCAAAUCAAUCUUCCAGAAGGAGUCAGAUUGUCAGUGAGGGAGCACACUGAAGAAGACUUCAAGGGAAGGUUCAAAGCUCGGCCAGAACUGGAAGAAUUGUUGGCCAAGUUGAACUAAAUGCUCCCUUCAUGGAAUUGUUGGUGUCAGAGAAGCUCCUCUUGCAAGAUCAGAGUUAAGGAGGAGCAUGAAUGCUCACACUGGGAAUGCCUUCUUGCGUCUGUGACAGCCGUGUUUGAAGUUACCACUUCCCUCAACAAGACGUCGGGCAUUCUCCACCUAAUAAACAUCUGCUGUUGCC
rnacentral:lncRNA from 1 species